CGGUAGCCGCGGGAACACGUAGGUCCCGAGCGUUGUCCGGAUUUAUUGGGCGUAGAGCGAGCGCAGGCGGUUAGAUAAGUCUGAAGUUAAAGGCUGUGGCUUAACCAUAGUACGCUUUGGUAACUGUUUAACUUGAGUGCAGAAGGGGAGAGUGGAAUUCCAUGUGUAGCGGUGAAAUGCGUAGAUAUAUGGAGGAACACCGGUGGCGAAAGCGGCUCUCUGGUCUGUAACUGACGCUGAGGCUCGAAAGCGUGGGGAGCAAACCGGAUUAGAUACCCCCGUAGUCCCUGUCUCUUAUACA
rnacentral:rRNA from 1 species